rnacentral:rRNA from 1 species
UGAGUAACCUGCCCCCGACUCUGGGAUAACCCCGGGAAACCGGAGCUAAUACCGGAUACGACCCACACAGGCAUCUACGUGGGUGGAAAGAUUUAUCGGUCAGGGAUGGACUCGCGGCCUAUCAGCUUGUUGGUGAGGUAACGGCCCACCAAGGCGACGACGGGUAGCCGGCCUGAGAGGGCGACCGGCCACACUGGGACUGAGACACGGCCCAGACUCCUACGGGAGGCAG